rnacentral:rRNA from 1 species
UAGUCUGCAACUCGACUACAUGAAGCUGGAAUCGCUAGUAAUCGCGAAUCAGAAUGUCGCGGUGAAUACGUUCCCGGGCCUUGUACACACCGCCCGUCACACCAUGAGAGCCGGGGGGACCCGAAGUCCGUAGCCUAACCGAAAGGGGGGCGCGGCCGAAGGUAAAACUGGUGAUUGGGGUGAAGUCGUAACAAGGUAGC